rnacentral:tRNA from 1 species
GGCUCGUUGGUCUAGGGGUAUGAUUCUCGCUUCGGGUGCGAGAGGUCCAGGCUUCAAAUCUCGGACAAGCCC